rnacentral:tRNA from 1 species
GUAAAAUGGCUGAAGUUUAGGCUAUAAAUUGUAAAUUUAUUAAUGAAUAAUAUUCUUUUACU